UAAUAAGAAGUGAAUUAUUGCAGUCAGUUUCGACCUGGAAGUUGGAUUACAUCCCUUAUUUU
rnacentral:tRNA from 1 species